rnacentral:rRNA from 1 species
UACGGGGGGGCAAGCGUUGUUCGGAAUUACUGGGCGUAAAGGGCUCGUAGGCGGCCAACUAAGUCAAACGUGAAAUCCCUCGGCUUAACCGGGGAACUGCGUCUGAUACUGGAUGGCUUGAGUGUGGGAGAGGGAUGCGGAAUUCCAGGUGUAGCGGUGAAAUGCGUAGAUAUCUGGAGGAACACCGGUGGCGAAGGCGGCAUCCUGGACCGGUAUUGACGCUGAGGCGCGAAAGCCAGGGGAGCAAACGGG